GUGGGGAAUAUUGGGCAAUGGGCGAAAGCCUGACCCAGCAACGCCGCGUGAAGGAAGAAGGCCUUCGGGUUGUAAACUUCUUUUAUGAGGGACGAAGGACGUGACGGUACCUCAUGAAUAAGCCACGGCUAACUACGUGCCAGCAGCCGCGGUAAUACGCAGGUGGCAAGCGUUGUCCGGAUUUACUGGGUGUAAAGGGCGCGUAGGCGGACUGGCAAGUCAGAUGUGAAAUCCAUGGGCUCAACUCAUGAACUGCAUUUGAAACUGUUGGUCUUGAGUGUCGGAGAGGCAAGCGGAAUUCCUAGUGUAGCGGUGAAAUGCGUAGAUAUUAGGAGGAACACCAGUGGCGAAGGCGGCUUGCUGGACGAUAACUGACGCUGAGGCGCGAAAGCGUGGGGAGCAAACAGGAUUAGAAACCCUUGUAGUCC
rnacentral:rRNA from 1 species